CCUUCGGGGAACGAUAACGGCGUCGAGCGGCGGACGGGUGAGUAAUGCCUAGGAAAUUGCCUUGAUGUGGGGGAUAACCAUUGGAAACGAUGGCUAAUACCGCAUNNNGCCUACGGGCCAAAGAGGGGGACCUUCGGGCCUCUCGCGUCAAGAUAUGCCUAGGUGGGAUUAGCUAGUUGGUGAGGUAAUGGCUCACCAAGGCGACGAUCCCUAGCUGGUCUGAGAGGAUGAUCAGCCACACUGGAACUGAGACACGGUCCAGACUCCUACGGGAGGCAGCAGUGGGGAAUAUUGCACAAUGGGCGCAAGCCUGAUGCAGCCAUGCCGCGUGUAUGAAGAAGGCCUUCGGGUUGUAAAGUACUUUCAGCAGUGAGGAAGGGGGUGUCGUUAAUAGCGGCAUCUCUUGACGUUAGCUGCAGAAGAAGCACCGGCUAACUCCGUGCCAGCAGCCGCGGUAAUACGGAGGGUGCGAGCGUUAAUCGGAAUUACUGGGCGUAAAGCGCAUGCAGGUGGUUUGUUAAGUCAGAUGUGAAAGCCCGGGGCUCAACCUCGGAACUGCAUUUGAAACUGGCAAACUAGAGUACUGUAGAGGGGGGUAGAAUUUCAGGUGUAGCGGUGAAAUGCGUAGAGAUCUGAANGAAUACCAGUGNCGAAGGCGGCCCCCUGGNCAGAUACUGACACUCAGAUGCGANGCGUGGGGAGCAAACAGGAUUA
rnacentral:rRNA from 1 species